UACGGAGGGGGCUAGCGUUGUUCGGAAUUACUGGGCGUAAAGCGCGCGUAGGCGGCUUUGUAAGUUAGAGGUGAAAGCCCGGGGCUCAACCCCGGAAUUGCCUUUAAGACUGCAUCGCUUGAAUCCGGGAGAGGUGAGUGGAAUUCCGAGUGUAGAGGUGAAAUUCGUAGAUAUUCGGAAGAACACCAGUGGCGAAGGCGGCUCCCUGGACCGGCAUUGACGCUGAGGUGCGAAAGCGUGGGGAGCAAACAGG
rnacentral:rRNA from 1 species